GACAGAGGGUGCAAACGUUGUUCGGAAUUACUGGGCGUAAAGCGCGUGUAGGCGGUUAUGCAAGUCGAUUGUGAAAUCCCUGGGCUCAACCGAGGAAGUGCAGUCGAAACUAACAAGCUAGAGGACGGCAGAGGAUGGUGGAAUUCCAAGUGUAGAGGUGAAAUUCGUAGAUAUUUGGAGGAAUACCGGUGGCGAAGGCGGCCAUCUGGACCGGUCCUGACGCUGAGGUGCGAAAGCGUGGGGAGCAAACAGG
rnacentral:rRNA from 1 species